CCUACGGGGGGCAGCAGUGGGGAAUAUUGGACAAUGGGGGCAACCCUGAUCCAGCCAUGCCGCGUGUGUGAAGAAGGCCCUCGGGUUGUAAAGCACUUUCAGUGAGGAAGAACGCCUGGUGGUUAAUACCCAUCAGGAAAGACAUCACUCACAGAAGAAGCACCGGCUAACUCCGUGCCAGCAGCCGCGGUAAUACGGAGGGUGCGAGCGUUAAUCGGAAUUACUGGGCGUAAAGCGCGCGUAGGUGGCUUGAUAAGCCGGUUGUGAAAGCCCCGGGCUCAACCUGGGAACGGCAUCCGGAACUGUCAAGCUAGAGUGCAGGAGAGGAAGGUAGAAUUCCCGGUGUAGCGGUGAAAAGCGUAGAGAUCGGGAGGAAUACCAGUGGCGAAGGCGGCCUUCUGGACUGACACUGACACUGAGGUGCGAAAGCGUGGGUAGCAAACAGGAUUAGAUACCCUAGUAGUC
rnacentral:rRNA from 1 species